rnacentral:rRNA from 1 species
AUAUACGACCGUACCGCAAACCGACACUGGUGCGCGAGAUGAGUAUUCUAAGGCGCUUGAGAGAACUCAGGAGAAGGAACUCGGCAAAUUGACACCGUAACUUCGGAAGAAGGUGUGCCCUAUUAGUGUGUAGUGAACAACGAAGCAUGAAUGGGUUGCAAAAAAUCGGUGGCUGCGACUGUUUAUUAAAAACACAGCACUCUGCAAACACGAAAGUGGACGUAUAGGGUGUGACGCCUGCCCGGUGCUGGAAGAUUAAAUGAUGGGGUGCAAGCUCUUGAUUGAAGUCCCAGUAAACGGCGGCCGUAACUAUAACGGUCCUAAGGUAGCGAAAUUCCUUGUCGGGUAAGUUCCGACCUGCACGAAUGGCGUAACGAUGGCCACACUGUCUCCUCCUGAGACUCAGCGAAGUUGAAAUGUUUGUGAUGAUGCAAUCUCCCCGCGGAAAGACGGAAAGACCCCAUGAACCUUUACUGUAGCUUUGUAUUGGACUUUGAACAGAUCUGUGUAGGAUAGGUGGGAGGCUUUGAAGCAGGGUCGCUAGAUCUUGUGGAGCCAACGUUGAAAUACCACCCUGGUGUGUUUGAGGUUCUAACCUAGGUCCAUUAUCUGGAUCGGGGACAGUGCAUGGUAGGCAGUUUGACUGGGGCGGUCUCCUCCCAAAGCGUAACGGAGGAGUUCGAAGGUACGCUAGUUACGGUCGGACAUCGUGACGAUAGUGCAAUGGCAUAAGCGUGCUUAACUGCGAGACUGACAAGUCGAGCAGAUGCGAAAGCAGGACAUAGUGAUCCGGUGGUUCCGUAUGGAAGGGCCAUCGCUCAACGGAUAAAAGGUACUCUGGGGAUAACAGGCUGAUACCGCCCAAGAGUUCAUAUCGACGGCGGUGUUUGGCACCUCGAUGUCGGCUCAUCUCAUCCUGGGGCUGUAGCCGGUCCCAAGGGUAUGGCUGUUCGCCAUUUAAAGAGGUACGUGAGCUGGGUUUAAAACGUCGUGAGACAGUUUGGUCCCUAUCUUCCGUGGGCGCUGCAGAUUUGAGGAAGCCUGCUCCUAGUACGAGAGGACCGGAGUGGACACACCUCUGGUGUAUCGGUUGUCACGCCAGUGGCAUUGCCGAGUAGCUAAGUGUGGAAGAGAUAACCGCUGAAAGCAUCUAAGCGGGAAACUCGUUUCAAGAUGAGAUCUGCCGGGGCCUUGAGCCCCCUAAAGAGUCGUUCAAGACCAGGACGUUGAUAGGUCAGGUGUGGAAGC